GUCAUGUUUAUAUGUGCACAGCUAUCGCCAAAAAAUCCACAAAGAAAUUCCAACAAUCCAUCAAAAACUACAACUGCAUGGCUCAUGACUUUCUUCUUAUCUUCUUUUGUAUUUUCUUUAUUCAUAAUGACAGAUAAUUCGGCGUGAGACGUUGCAAUCGCUGAUAUCUGCCGCUAGGAUCUAACGAACUUGUCAUGAGAGCCCGCGACGCUGUCUUCCACCUGGCUUGCUCCACUUGCGCUGCCUGCAACCAGCUGGGCAAAGGGGACAUUUUCGGCAUGCGGGACAGAAUCAUCUACUGUCGACUUCACUACGAGAUGCUCCAGCAACCAUCGACGCUGACGUAAUCUCACCAAUCGCAUCAGCACGGUCUCCUCAUGUCUCACCCGGCGCAGGGCAACAAAAACGGACUGAUGGGCACUCUCGACGGCCCGUGUGAUCUCUCAUCUUACGGACGACACCAAGGGUUCUUUCCGCCAUCCGGCUUUCAUCACCCGCAUUUGAUGCCGCAGAAAUUGGUCAGCCUCAGUCAGCACAUGAUCAACAUCCUCUCCUCAUCGGGCGUUGAACCGGUCAACGAUUCGUUCUAUUCGUCCGGCAGUGUUGGCUCUCGUCCAUUCCAGCAACAACAGCAAUAACAACAACAGCAACACCAACAACGGCAGGGGUGGUGGCGACGGCAGGUCGACGGGCAAUCAUUCCAAUUCGACCAUCCUGGGCCAACAACAACACCUGAACGCGGCCAUUCUCAGGCUACUCACUACCGGAAUUGGUUAGUUUCAAAUUUUAUUCGCGGGCUAUUAUUACAUGCUUUUCGUAAGCGACGGCCAACGGGAAACUGAUAAUGUUUAACAAACGCGUAUACGGGGACAUGCGUGACAGCUCUGAGGAGGCAAUCGUGAGGGGAGUAGGGACUAUGUCACGACGACAUCCAACGCAGGUGGAAUUCAUUUACAUAUUCCAACAUGAGAGUUGGAAACUAGUUUGGCGAUGCCCAAGCCAAAACGCAGGGUUCGUUACUGGCCAUCCAUUUCAAUUAUCGGCUCAUCAAUCAGCUGACGCAAAAUCUGCGUGUCGAUCCGAAAGAAAAAUUUAAAGAAAAAGAAAUGGGCGUGUAACAAUAAGAAAGAAAGAAAUCAAACGAACGAAUGUUAACCAACAGUGUCAACGAUCUUGUCGACGAUUAAUUGCGCCCAUUUCCCCCCCCCCCCCUUUUUUGUGAGUUGUUUCGAGGGGGAAUUACUCGGCGCAUUAUGCAUUGCCUGGUUAUGACUUUUAUCAGCAGACGUCUUUUCACGUAGUUUUCGUAAUCGGACAAAUAAAAAAAAGCUAAAAAAAUCGGCGAGUGGACUAAGUCGAAGGAUGUUGGAUAUGAACCCACAGCCCGAAGCUCUUAGAAACACGUAUGCAUCACCAAAAAAAAUUCAACAAUAAAAUCACUUACUAUGAAAGUCGAACGACAUCAACAAUGCUGAAGCACUAUCACAUUCACUUUUCUGAUAUGCUGCUUUAACCAUAUCGGCGUAUUUGACUUUUGUCUUAUUACAAAUCACAAUCUUCACAUCACUGUGAAUCUUACGAAAAAUCACUUCCAUUUUAGAAAUUUCAAAAUUUUUAAACGAUUCAACCAGGAUUUGUGCACAAAAAACUACACGAAAGAGCACGAGCUUAGCACGUGGAGAGAAUGAGCUGAUGAAACAGAACAAUGAUGAGAAAAACAGACGCACGCUUUUGGCGGUCUCAGGAACGCCUACAACAUGCGCUCGUAGCGGGAA
rnacentral:lncRNA from 1 species